GGACAAUGUAAGCAAAGAUAUUUAACUGAUCAAGAAUGGCGAGCAGCCCAGACAUAUGUUUUACUUAAUUGUCCAGAAGUAUCACCAUAUUUCGAGAUUUUUCAAAACUUGUAUUCUGAUAUGCCAACACUAGAGUUUGAUCGUUUCUGCGAUCAAGAAUUUGCACCUUGGUUCAAAUCAUAUGUUUAUGAUAAUCAAGCUCAUCUCGAACAUCAAAUGUUAUUUCAUCUAUCUUGGGGUCCAAAAGCAAUGGUACGCACUUGGCCAGCAUAUUUUAUAAAUGGAUAUAAUUUUCAUACUCAAGAAUAUGGAAAAGGGAAGACUACAAUGAAUAGUG